rnacentral:rRNA from 1 species
CCAAUAGCGUAUAUUAAAGUUGUUGCAGUUAAAAAGCUCGUAGUUGAACUUCGGGGUCUACCCAUUGGUCAGGCUUAAUUGUCUGCACUGGUGAGAUGGAUCUCUACCUUCUGAGGAACUUUCAUGCCAUUUAUUUGGUGUGAUGGGAAAUCAGGACUGUUACUUUGAAAAAAUUAGAGUGUUUAAAGCAGACUAUCGUCUGAAUACAUUAGCAUGGAAUAAUGAAAUAGGACGGACUGAUUCUAUUUCGUUGGUUUCUAGGAUCACCGUAAUGAUUAAUAGGGAUAGUUGGGGGCAUUAGUAUUCAAUUGUCAGAGGUGAAAUUCUUGGAUCUAUUGAAGACUAACUACUGCGAAAGCAUUUGCCAAGGAUGUUUUCAUUAAUCAAGAACGAAAGUUAGGGGAUCGAAGACGAUCAGAUACCGUCGUAGUCUUAACCAUAAACUAUGCCGACUAGGGAUCGGAUGAUGUUAAUUUUUUAAUGACUCAUUCGGCGCCUUACG